rnacentral:rRNA from 1 species
UACGUAGGGUGCGAGCGUUAAUCGGAAUUACUGGGCGUAAAGCGUGCGCAGGCGGUUUGUUAAGACAGGUGUGAAAUCCCCGGGCUUAACCUGGGAAUGGCGCUUGUAACUGGCAGGCUAGAGUGUGUCAGAGGGAGGUAGAAUUCCACGUGUAGCAGUGAAAUGCGUAGAGAUGUGGAGGAAUACCGAUGGCGAAGGCAGCCCCCUGGGCCAAUACUGACGCUCAUGCACGAAAGCGUGGGGAGCAAACAGG